AGAAAAAGAUUGAUGGUGGUUGUCGUAGUUGAAGUGCUCAGUGGCUAGCUCUAGUCUAUAUAAUUUUCUUGUGAAAGGCCUGAACAAUAACAGAUGGUGAAGGACAUUGUGUGGUUCACUUCGCUUCAAGAAAAAUCGAAUAGUUUUCAAAGCCGAGUCGCAAUUCUCGGGGAUCUACAAUGGAGUUUUGCUGUGUGGAAUGGAAGUCUCAGAUGCAAACUGAUCCAGGAUCUACAAUGGUGCUAAUACUAUACACAAUUCAACUUAUUGGAUUGGCAUGCAUCAUGGUAAACCCUUUAGCUCGAACGAUUAUUGUGUUACGCUAGUGUUAUACUAAAUGCUACUAAAUAACCUGAAAGUUCUUGAAAAGUGAUAUUAUAUACAUGGGGUUUCCGGUGUACCUCGUCGCCACUGAAGUAUCGGAUGCCUUAGAAGCUUAACGCGGAACCACUUCGGUUAUUAAACGUACUGUCUGCUCUGUCAUGCCCCUUGAGAUCAGCCGACGUUGAUUCUUCUACGUUAUAAUUUACUGCAUGUAAUGGUUUUAAUAUAUCAUAUAGCUCCCCGGUUUAGGAUCCUAUUUUGUUUUUCUUAUUCAUAUUAUGAUUAUUUUUUUCACGCGAUUAUGACGUUUAUAGUACAGUGUAAUAAUA